UCCCACAACCCCUAGAUCUUUCGACAUAGUUUUAGACUGUUCCCGGUUCGUUCGCCACUACUUCGGGAAUCGCUUUUGCUUUCUUUUCCUCCAGUUACUAAGAUGUUUCAGUUCACUGGGUAGCCUCUUACCUAAUUAUGAAUUUAUUCGGUAGUUUUAUCAGAUUGCCCUAUUCGGGAAUCUUCGGUUCUAACCUUGUUUCCAGCUCCGCGAAGCGUUUCGCCGGUAACUGCGCCCUUCAUCGUCUCUGAGUGCCUAGGUCUCCUCCGUACGCCUUAAUUC
rnacentral:rRNA from 1 species